CGGAGGGUGCAAGCGUUAUCCGGAUUCACUGGGUUUAAAGGGUGCGUAGGUGGGUUGGUAAGUCAGUGGUGAAAUCCCCGAGCUUAACUUGGGAACUGCCAUUGAUACUAUUAAUCUUGAAUACCGUGGAGGUCAGCGGAAUAUGUCAUGUAGCGGUGAAAUGCUUAGAUAUGACAUAGAACACCAAUUGCGAAGGCAGCUGGCUACGCGAAUAUUGACACUGAUGCACGAAAGCGUGGGGAUCAAACAGGAUUAGAUACCCUGGUAGUCCACGCCCUAAACUAUGGAUACUCGACAUCAGCGAUACACUGUUGGUGUCUGAGCGAAAGCAUUAAGUAUCCCACCUGGGAAGUACGAUCGCAAGAUUG
rnacentral:rRNA from 1 species